CUACCGGUGCCGUGAGGCGCCGGGAUGGGGCGGCAGAAGUCAGCCGACGCCGUAGUAGUGCUGCAAAACCGGCAGCAUGAAGGGC
rfam:Escherichia coli SMS-3-5, complete genome.